rnacentral:ncRNA from 1 species
AAAUUUGGGCCUUAUUGGUGAAAACCUUUAAGUGUAAGAUGUCAAAUUCAGGGAAACCUUCCAUGUAAUGAUGAUGGCAAUCCUGAGCCAAGCCUUGCGAAAGUGGGGAAGGUGCAGAGACUAGACGGCAUCCACCUAAAGCGCAAGCAAUGGUGAAGGGAUAGUCCAG